rnacentral:rRNA from 1 species
UACGUAGGUCCCGAGCGUUGUCCGGAUUUAUUGGGCGUAAAGCGAGCGCAGGUGGUUUAAUAAGUCUGAUGUAAAAGGCAGUGGCUCAACCAUUGUGUGCAUUGGAAACUGUUAGACUUGAGUGCAGUAGAGGAGAGUGGAAUUCCAUGUGUAGCGGUGAAAUGCGUAGAUAUAUGGAGGAACACCGGUGGCGAAAGCGGCUCUCUGGCCUGGCCCUGACGCUGAGGCGCGAAAGCGUGGGGAGCAAACGGG